GAACUCCAUAUGCUGUUUGUUGACUUUGCGGGCAGAAAAUUGCAUUCCAUAUUUCGGAUCGGCUACAAACUAAAUCUAACAAAGUACAGAAAUCCAUAAAAGCCAGCGAAUUUAAAGAUACUUUAAAUUUUAGAUAAUUUUAGCCCUAUUUUUAUCCUUUGAAACUCAUGCAAAUUGCGGUAUUCAGGAGCAAGUCAUAAAAUCAGUAAUCCAACUAAUUGCCAACUAAUUUUCGAGCUCUAAGCAUAGUCAUACAUUAGCGAUUUGGGUACUUUUCCACACAGAACUUAAGCUCCAUCAACACAUUGGAAAUUAAAGCCCUGCCAAGAGCAGAAAAUGAAAACUCAAUCCACACGUUCCAUUUUUGGGCCAAAUAUCGUAUUGUAGUUGGAAAUUUUCAAACAAUUGGCCAGCGGAAGCAUUUUAUUCUGGGAAGCAGCCUCACAUGACAAACAAAUGUCGAGGGAAACUUUUUUAAUUACUCUCGAUAGGCGGAGAGUGGCGGCGCACUGGCGGG